GUGUGCCUGAGAGUCCUCUGACAACGCACGCAUGCGGGGCUUGAAGAUGCGAAUGCGCGUGCGCACUGAGGGCUGCGUGGAAGGGCUUGGCGUGAGCAGGAGGAGCAAUUUAGAUUAGACAUAAGAAGAAUGUUUUUCCCUGAAGAUUUUCCCUAAAGAAGUGAGAGUGAAUCCGAAUUCGGAAGUCAUCUGAGUCGGCUAUCUGCUCUUUCUCUCUGUACCAAUGAACUUGAACUGCGGCUGUGGCCUGGACUCGGCAUUCAAACACGACAAACUGACCUCUGGUUGUAGAGAUAUCUUGAAGAUGCUGAAGAACAAACACAGAAUUCACAGAAUGGAAGAAAUUGUUUCACCAUAUACUGUGAUUUGGGGUGUCAGUUGCACUCCAGGGUCCUCUGGAAUCUGGAAUCACAUUUCAGGUUAUAACUUGGCCCUCAGACCAAAGAGAAAGGACCUAAGGUCCUUCUGCCUGGUGAGACCUAGGUAAGACAUAAUGAUCACCAGCCCAGCCCUUGAGCCUGAUGUCCAGGGCUGCAUAUUAUAAGAAGGAAUGCAGCAGGAGAGAAGACUUGUGCCUGAUAGCAUCUGCUGAAAGUGGGCUUCCAGAAUUGAUAGCACUGCUCCUAACUCAUAACGACAUUGUUUCCUGUGUCUCCCAUCCUGUAUCUGGGUAAGUUCCAGCUUUACUUCUCAUACCCUAGCCAGCAGUGGCAAUAGUUCCAGUUCUGUUAGGUUUGAAAACUGGGAGACAGAGAGCCUGCAGAAGAUAGCAACCUUAGCUUGGUUUGACUUAGCUGAUUGAAUCCUGCUGUUUCCAGUGAAUGAUAGAGGAGGCAUCUAAAUCCUGAUCUCUGACUGUGACCCAAGCCAGAAAUAGAUAUGGUUUUGCUUGUUGACUUCUUCAGAAGGGCAUCUUGUGGCCAGUUAAGAGAAUGUGAUGAAUUGAACCUUGAGGUCAGGCAGAGCAUCGUCUGCUUGGAGAGAACCAUCUAAGAACUGCCUUCCAGAGCUGGAGGAUUGACACAGCGCAAAAGUCUAAAGAGCAUAGGAUGAACCAUGAAUUGCCCU